rnacentral:rRNA from 1 species
GCGGAGGAAAAGAAACCAACAGGGAUUGCCUCAGUAACGGCGAGUGAAGCGGCAUCAGCUCAAAUUUGAAAUCUGGUCUCACGAUCCGAGUUGUAAUUUGUAGAGAAUGCUUCGGGCGAGGUCCGGUCUAAGUUCCUUGGAACAGGACGUCGUAGAGGGUGAGAAUCCCGUAUGCGACCGGGUGCCUCCGCCCAUGUGAAGCUUCUUCGACGAGUCGAGUUGUUUGGGAAUGCAGCUCAAAAUGGGUGGUAAAUUUCAUCUAAAGCUAAAUACUGGCCAGAGACCGAUAGCGCACAAGUAGAGUGAUCGAAAGAUGAAAAGCACUUUGGAAAGAGAGUUAAACAGUACGUGAAAUUGUUGAAAGGGAAGCGCUUGCAACCAGACUUGCGCGUAGCCGAUCAUCCGGUGUUCUCACCGGUGCACUCGGUUGCGCUCAGGCCAGCAUCGGUUUCGGUGGUUGGAUAAAGGCCCGGGGAAUGUAGCUCCUCUCGGGGAGUGUUAUAGCCCUGGGUGCAAUGCAGCCUACCGGGACCGAGGACCGCGCUUCGGCUAGGAUGCUGGCGUAAUGGUUGUAAGCGACCCGUCUUGA